CUUUGGGGACCAGCUCUCGGGAAGAAAGGACUGCAGGAUGGAGGAGGGUUUUGACUUGCCCUGGUGUGUGUGUGUAAACUGGGAUCCAGAGUUUGACAGCAGAGGAGAGACUUCUGGUGUGAAGAGCAGAGCGAUCCUGGUCCCCUAGGGAGUACACUUGAUAAGCAAGAGACCAGGUACAGAUUCUUUCAGAUCUUACAGUUCUCAAAGAGCAAGCAAAUGUCCUCUUUCCAAGCCUCACAUUUAGACUGACUGCUGGCAGAUAGAAAACUUCUUGAAGGAGGCCUCGGCUUUGAAGGUUUGUUGUAAGACCGUAACACCUAACUCAGGGGUGGAAGUGGGUGCUCUGCCUUAGCCUUCCCAUGGUUACACCAAGAGGAUCUGGACGACCACUGCUCCUGAGAGGCCAAUGUUUCUACUUCGUGGCUUUAACCAGUGUGCUCUGGCUGCCAUCUGCACAGACCCGAGAGUCUUUUCUUCCACAGAGGUUUCACCUUCAACUGCCUACAGCAUUUGGUCUCUUCUGGAGGAAUUUAAGAGGGCCGUACCAGCAGCACAUCAAGGAUCACAGCCUAGGGGUCUAAAAGGAGCUACAGCUGCCGGCCUACUCCACAGCCACAGCAGCGCAGGAUCCAAGCCGAGUCUGCGACGUACACCACAUCUCACGGCAACUAAAGAUCCUUAAUCCACAUAGCGAGGCCAGGGAUCGAACCCUCGACCUCAUGGUUCCUAGUCAGAUUCGUUUCCACUUCACCACAAUGGGAACUCCAAGGAUCCUAAACUUCGUGAAGGCAGAAUGCUCGCUUAACUCAUUUCUAUAUUCGUCCCACAAAUUUUAUUGAGCUUUGUAAGUGCACAAAAAGGAGUUGUUAACAAAUAAAUGAUAAGCAGAGUGAAUUCACCUAGACCUAAGGAGAUGGGGCUUCCAUGAGGGCAGGGAUGAGGUGCUCUAUCUCCAUUAAUCUGAGGUGAGGAUGUGGGCAGGGAAUCCCCAUCAGCUGCAGAGAUGGCUGCAAAGUGGUGAGAAUGGGCUGACAGACCAAACGUUGCAAGUUCUGUAGAGGACUGUCACCAACCUUUGGAGAUUCCAGCUUUAGAUAAUUUUUUCUCAUGAUAUUCAUCAAAUAUUCAUUAUUGGGAGUAGAAAAUUUCCCAGUCUCUGGGGCCAUCUUUUUAUGUACUAAGAGCCCUGUUUCUGAAUGGAACUCUCUCACCUCUGGCCCCACCCUAUUAUUAAGGGUUGGCUAGAAUCCAUGUGUCCUUUGGACUAGGAAGCUGCAUAACCGAUGGUAAAUGCCUCCCCCUUUUGUCACCCCAGCAGUUCCAGGCUGAGUCAUUUUCUAAAUAAGCCACUUGUGGUUUUUGGUCUGACAUCACAUGUGGAAGACUGAGUAAUUUUUUAAGAACCAGAAUUAUAGUCGAUCAGAAUAAGAUACAUUGUGUACAUUACUCAUGGUUCUAGGACAAGGGGUCAACGCUGGUAACAAGUACCCUAAGCUUCUCCUACCCCUCCUUUCCCUGGGGCUGAGGGACAGGGAGAAGGCCAAGGAAGGAGGUGGGGAUGGAUAUGAAGAAUUUUUGUGUGCAUCUCUAAUUUUGUUAAUACAUUAUGUACAGUAAAAUUAUAUCUUGUUGCCACUUCCAGAUUAAAUAAAAGUAAUAUAGCAAAGUAGGUAAGGCCUGGGGGCUCUGCUGCUUGGGUUCAAAUCCCAGCUUCACCACAUACCAGUUGGGCAAGUUACUGAUUCUUGAUUCGCCUGCAUUUCCUCAUUUGUAAAAUAAUAGUAUCUAUGAUGUAGGGUUGUUGUCAGGAAUAAAUGAAUUGAUAUAUGUUGAGUGCUUAGAAUUGUCUGGAACUUAGUAAGCACUAUGGAAAUAUGACUAAAUAUUUCUGUGAGUCCACCACAACGUUUAUGCUCAUAUUAAAUGUUCAAUAAAUGGUUCUUGAU
rnacentral:lncRNA from 1 species